rnacentral:rRNA from 1 species
GAUGAACGCUGGCGGCGUGCCUAAUACAUGCAAGUCGAGCGAACAGACGAGGAGCUUGCUCCUCUGACGUUAGCGGCGGACGGGUGAGUAACACGUGGAUAACCUACCUAUAAGACUGGGAUAACUUCGGGAAACCGGAGCUAAUACCGGAUAAUAUAUUGAACCGCAUGGUUCAAUAGUGAAAGACGGUUUUGCUGUCACUUAUAGAUGGAUCCGCGCCGCAUUAGCUAGUUGGUAAGGUAACGGCUUACCAAGGCAACGAUGCGUAGCCGACCUGAGAGGGUGAUCGGCCACACUGGAACUGAGACACGGUCCAGACUCCUACGGGAGGCAGCAGUAGGGAAUCUUCCGCAAUGGGCGAAAGCCCGACGGAGCAACGCCGCGUGAGUGAUGAAGGUCUUCGGAUCGUAAAACUCUGUUAUUAGGGAAGAACAAAUGUGUAAGUAACUAUGCACGUCUUGACGGUACCUAAUCAGAAAGCCACGGCUAACUGCGUG